GACUCUCGACAACGGAUAUCUCGGCUCUCGCAUCGAUGAAAAACGUAAUGAAAUGCGAUACUUGGUGUGAAUUGCAAAUUCCCGUGGAACCAUCGAGUCUUUGAAACGCAGGUUGCGCCCGAAGCCUUCCGGCCGAAGGGCACGUCUGCCCUGGGCGUC
rnacentral:rRNA from 1 species